CUUAUCUUUGAAAACUCUUGAAUUGGGUGUAUCCAGCAUUGCCCUGUAAUAGCAGGCAUGUAAGAACCAUGGACUUAGCCUGACACAAAGUGUGACAUUAUUUUACUUAUAAGAAAUAUCCAGAACAGGCGAUCUAGAGACAGUACUGCUGGCUGCCAGGAACCAUGGGGAAGACACGGGAACAGCUGCUGAUGGUGUAUGAUGCUCUCUGGAAGUGAUGACAUUCCUUCAAGCCUACACUGUGGUAAUCAUUGUAUAACAUUAAGUUGCAAGGAAUGUCUGCUCGUCCUGGUAUGACAAUGUGACUGAUAUUCAGUUGGGAUGGAAGGGCAGAGAUCACACGAGCCACAGCAAAAUUCCAGAAAGGCAGACCCAUUGUCUCAGUUGGUGAAAGAGCGACAGAGAAAAAGCCCACAGCAGCAUCUAUGGAGGCCCAGGGCUCUGCUCCAACAGGCUCUGAAGAAGCAGACGUGUCUACGUACUUGCCUGAUGCAAGAGAGAUCUCAAAGUUAGAACAAGAGCCUCACUGUGUCCAGGCUCGUGGAUCCUCCUGCUUCAGCUGCCUGGGCUGGAUGACUUUCAUUAGGAAAGGGCACAGGAACUACAUGUUAAGAGACUUUGGCCUGGAAGAACAGGAGACCCAAGAUAUGCUGCCCAGGCAAGCUUCUCUGUGACUAUAGAACUAUGCUCCAUGAUGGUGUUUCUGAAAAAUUUUAUUCAAUUAAAAACAUUUUUUUGAGAGGGAA